AACAGUCUGGACUCACGGAGGCUCAUAGCCUUUUGCGCGAGUUAUUGAAGGCACGUCUGGAGGAAGAAGACGUGACCGGGAAUACUAAUGGAGUUAUCCACAAACGGGCACAAGAAAUGAUGAGAAAUCUUGUAGCAGGCGAGGAUAGGUCAACAGGCUAGGACAUCAUGACGACAGUAGAUCGAAAAAUCAUCAAUCAUCUUAGUGAAGCAACUAUAAACAGCAAAAUAUUUGAAAUAAAAAAAAUAUUUUCUUUAAUUG